rnacentral:lncRNA from 1 species
AACUGUAAUCUAGAUGCUAAACCCUUUUUAAAAAUCCUUUUUCUUAUUCUUUUCCUCAAGGGCCCUUCAUUCAGAAGUGUGCUCCACUGACUGAUUUUAAUACGUUCAGGCAAGAGAACCAAUUCAUUUUUUCUCUGCAAGGAGCAGCUCAGGAAAGCCUUGCCAGUUGUAUGAAUGUCCCUCUCAGUAACACCUGCAGCAGCUCUGGCACCCAGAUGUGUGUGUGACACAUCAGUUCAAAUGAUCCCUUAUUUAUUUUGAAGUGAGGCAUAGCUACUCUUCAGAUUUAUGUUAUGUAAAACAGUGAGAAAAUUACAUCUAUCAAGACAAA